rnacentral:rRNA from 1 species
UACAGAGGUCUCAAGCGUUGUUCGGAUUCAUUGGGCGUAAAGGGUGCGUAGGUGGCGGGGUAAGUCAGGUGUGAAAUCUCGGAGCUCAACUCCGAAACUGCACUUGAUACUGCCUUGCUCGAGUACUGGAGAGGAGAUCGGAAUUUACGGUGUAGCAGUGAAAUGCGUAGAUAUCGUAAGGAAGACCAGUGGCGAAGGCGAAUCUCUGGACAGUUACUGACACUGAGGCACGAAGGCCAGGGGAGCAAACAGG